AAGGAAAACACAACCAGCAUUAGGCAAUGAUGCACAAAACCAGGCUGCAGAGUUCAGUUGGCUACUGGGCCACUCAAAUCUCCAGACACUCCAUCUCUCAGAGCUGCAGGAGGUCCUGGGUCCAUCCUGCCCACACAGGGCCAAGGGCAGCCACAAAAUGCUCUAAAUUGAGCUCAAAAUGCUCACUGAAGACACAGGGCUCACAUUAAUGAGCUACAAACAUAUGGAGGACACAAUUCUAGAUGAUGGCUGUAUGGAAGGACAAGUCCUGCAUGACCAAAGGGAAGUGCUGCUCCUUGGGAACGUUCACGUGCCAGGAUGAAUUAAUUCUCUUGGAAUGACAAGGUGGUCAAAGAGGUGUCAGUUGUGAACCGAAGACACAGAAAUAAUGCUACUAAAAACCAAAGUCAUGACAAAAUGCAAUAGAGAAGAGAAUGAUUAAUAAGGCUACAAAAGUAGCAAAACAAAAAAAAUGAAGAAAACCAUACAACAACAACAAAAAACAACUGCAACGUAACACUUCACUAAGAUUAGGAUUUAAUUCCUUUUCAGUCUGCUCCAAAGUGAGCUUUGAAAUUUCAGGUGAUGCUCAUCUGAGAAAGCAGAUGACUCCAAUUGUAACAGUUGGAAUUGCUGACUUGGACUGGCUCAGGG